UACAUGGGGUGCAAACGUUGCUCGGAAUUAUUGGGCGUAAAGCGCACGUAGGCGGUUUGUUAAGUCGGAUGUGAAAUCCCUCGGCUCAACUGAGGAAGUGCAUCCGAAACUGGCAAGCUUGAGUACGAAAGAGGGUCGCGGAAUUCCCGGUGUAGAGGUGAAAUUCGUAGAUAUCGGGAGGAACACCGGUGGCGAAGGCGGCAUCCUGGACCGACAUUGACGCUGAGGAGCGAAAGCCAGGGGAGCAAACGGG
rnacentral:rRNA from 1 species